rnacentral:lncRNA from 1 species
AAACCGCUACGUUUAACAUUUGGAAGAACGGCCAGAUCGUUGCCCAGAGUGGUUGCACUGUUUUACCAUUCUGACUGCGAAGCAUGAAUGUUCCAGUUUCUUUUUAUAACUUAUUUUUCUUUGCUGGAAUUUUUUUCAUUUGUUUAAAAAGAAUUUGCAGUUUAUAAUAGAAGCGUCUUUAUGGUGACUGUUUGAAAGUCCUCAUCAGGCAAUUUUGACGAUAUUGGCAGCUGAUUGUCUCUCCCCAUCAGCUGUGGUUUCCCUGGCGCUUCUCAUGGUGAGUGACUUUCAGCUGCACCCCAGGCACGCUGGCUGGGAUGUCAGACACUCCUGCUUCUGUUUAAAUCUUCCAUUUCAGCAGCAGCCGUUCUGUUGAGACUCAGCGUGCAGGCUCCAGUCUUCUUUUGUGGCCUCAGUUCCAACGGCAGCCUAGGUCUCAGAGCCCUUGCAAAGCUGUCACGGGUGUCUUGCUCUUCUGUGCUCUGGGGCUCCUCCUCUGUCCCGCUAGUCCGGGGUCCGUGGUGUCCGGGGUCACUGUCACCACCCACGAUGGGGAGCUGGAGCCUGGGUAGAGGGCAGGGCUUGGCUGCCGCUGUGGCUGUGAGCCCAUUGGACCACCUGCCUGCCUGAGCGCAGCUACUCUGUCAGCAUUACCAGCAGAGGAGGAAACCCGCAGGCCGGGCCCCUGAAGCUCAGGGCCGCCAGGCCACUGGCUGCUCUGCCCACAGAUGGAGAGACGGAGCCACUGGCACGCUCGGAAAGGCCCGCACGGUAGCACUGGUCCUGAGGGGCCGCGGAUGGCUCUGCUUCUGCGUGUUGCCCUGGAUUGAGAUCCCUGCCUCUGCGCAGGCUGAGCCGUGGGAGCUGACCGAGGCUGACCCGACGACCUGCGGUUGGCCUACCGGCCCAGUCCAUGCGACGGGGUGGUGCUGGUCUGGCACGAAGGGGCAUGGGGACAUGUGUGCGACCAGGAGUGGACGCUGAAGGAGGCGUCCAUGGUCUGCAGGCAGCU